UAUUUUAAAGAGAGUUUGAUCCUGGCUCAGGACGAACGCUGGCGGCGUGCCUAAUACAUGCAAGUCGAACGAACGGAGGAAGAGCUUGCUCUUCCAAAGUUAGUGGCGGACGGGUGAGUAACACGUGGGCAACCUGCCUGUAAGUUGGGGAUAACUCCGGGAAACCGGGGCUAAUACCGAAUGAUAAAGUGUGGCGCAUGCCACGCUUUUGAAAGAUGGUUUCGGCUAUCGCUUACAGAUGGGCCCGCGGUGCAUUAGCUAGUUGGUAGGGUAAUGGCCUACCAAGGCAACGAUG
rnacentral:rRNA from 1 species